UAAGACGCGAAAGCUAGGGGAGAGAACGGGAUUAGAAACCCCGGUAUUCCCUAGCCGUAAACGAUUGUCAACUAGGUGUAGGGGGUAUCCCAACCCCCCUGUGCUGUAGCAAACGCAUUAAGUUGACCGCCUGGGGACUACGGCCGCAAGGCUAAAACUCAAAGGAAUUGACGGGGACCCGCACAAGCAGCGGAGCGUGUGGUUUAAUUCGAGGCUACGCGAAGAACCUUACCAGGGCUUGACAUGGCGGUGGUAGGAAAGUGAAAGCUGACCGACCCUUCGGGGAGCCGUCCACAGGUGCUGCAUGGCUGUCGUCAGCUCGUGCCGUGAGGUGUUAGGUUAAGUCCUGUAACGAGCGCAACCCUCGUCGCUAGUUAUACGUGUCUAGCGAGACUGCCGGUGAUAAGCCGGAGGAAGGUGGGGAUGACGUCCAAGUCAGCAUGGCCUUUAUAUCCUGGGCUACACACACGCUACAAUGGCCGGUACAAUGGGUCGCGAAGCCGUGAGGCGAAG
rnacentral:rRNA from 1 species